rnacentral:rRNA from 1 species
CAGCAGCCGCGGUAAUACGUAGGGGACAGAGCGUUGUCCGGAAUUACUGGGCGUAAAGGGCGCGCAGGCUGUGCUGCAAGUCAGCUGUUAAAUGUCUGGGCUUAACCCGGGCAUGCGGUUGAGACUGCAGUGCUGGAGUGCUGUAGAGGCAAGUGGAAUUCCCAGUGUAGCGGUGAAAUGCGUAGAUAUUGGGAAGAACACCGGUGGCGAAGGCGACUUGCUGGGCAGCAACUGACGCUGAGGCGCGAAAGCCAGGGGAGCAAACGGGAUUAGAUACCCCGGUAGUCCUGGCCGUAAACGAUGAAUGCUAGGUGUGGGUGUAGAGAUACAUUCGUGCCGGAGUUAACGCAAUAAGUAUCCCGCC